rnacentral:tRNA from 1 species
UGGGGGAUUGUGUAAUGGUAGCACGGCAGAUUCUGGAUCUGCUUGUGAGGGUUCGAAUCCUUCUCCCCCAG